ensembl:lncRNA
GCAUAUAAUAAAAAGGCUAGUUUUAAAGACAGCUCUCAACAACCCCCGACUGUCCGUUCCAGAAAUAAUAUGCGCUUCUUUUAAUUUAGAUCUCCAAUGAAGAUUUCGAAGCUCGGGGAGGCGAACAGCUGUGUUUCUGCCCUGAUAAAUGACUCAUUUAAAUGAGUUUCAUUAACGAUACGUAGGAGUCUUGUUGAGCGCCGCGAUAUAUUUUGAUCUACAGCGCCGUUAUGACAGCAGGGGUUUGUGCGGCAGUCUGUGAGUUAAUGGAGUCAAAUGGAAAUUAUCUGAUGGCCAACACAUCUCUGAAUGUAAAUCUCCCUCGCAUAUUGAAGUCGGGCUCGUCGUAUGUCGCCCGGCUAUCAAAUUAUUCAUUCUAUAUGCACAAUAGAAACCAAAUUACCUCAUAAAAAAAGAUACGGAGAAAUAAAUGAAUUCUUUGGCACUGAUAUCUCCUCAUGCUAGGCUGAAAUCACUAGCGCGUGACUAAGUGUUUGACGAUGUGGCCUGAUCCGCGACCAGCUUUUCCGGUUUCUGUGCUGCUUAAUUUGAAUGGAGGAUUAAAUGAAGCUAAUCCCAUUUCAGAUCUGCGCAAACAAACACGCCAGAGCAAAGCCCUGCCUGAGGCUAACCGAGACACAAUGCUGUAAUCUUACAGUAAAGCUGACGCCUGCACUGUACAGUGAAUGAUUACACAUUCCCCUAAGGGCAGUGGUCCAAACACAACCUGAAGGAGACCCAAAACAUGACGUAAGGCACAUGGUUGCAAUCAGAUCUUUUGGGCAAGACCUAUUCGGUCUCGUUUUCCCAGAGGAAAUCAGCUUACAGCAUCCUUUAAGAAAUCUAACCCCAGUCGGGAUGGAAAUGAACAGGAAGCGAAUUUCAUCUUGUGGAAACCUUUGGAUGCAUCACUGUACAACCAUGUUGAGCAAUCAUCAACAUCAUCAUUAUCAUCAUCAUCAUAACUGCCGUGCUACAAUAGAUCCCAGCAGGGGACAUUGCAGGAUGAAUAUAAAACCUCUAACUUUCUUCAAAUGCAAAUCUAUAACAAUGUAAACCUUUUCAUUAGAUGUUUGUGUUAUUUUAUUCUCGCCAUGUCCAUAAAUUUACAUAAAACACAUAAAAAACCUAUCUUGCUUCAACAAAAGAUUUAUUUUGCAUGGGAGAUGCAAAUGGUCCUAAAGUAGAUUUCAGUAUACUGCUAACUUUUGAUUUUGGGUUGAAAUAUGAUCCAGACAGAUUCUCACAUAUAAUUUAGCACAAAUCACAUAUUGAAUGGAGAGAGAAAGAAGGUCACCCUUGACGCCGCUGAUGUUCAGGGAUGUCACAUAAUAGGCAGUUCACUUUUUUCCAGGGCAUAAAGUUGUGGCAUUCUGGCCCAGAUAUGUCAUAAAUGUGAUAUUUUGAAGAAAAUGUCAUCUCUUAACUCAAUCCAGUUCCACUCCAGUGACUGCGGGUUGCUUCCAGAUUGGUUUGCUAUAGAUGAUUCUGUCAGUCUGAGUAAACAUUACAAAGAAUGUGUGACGCCCCUGAGCCAGAGCUUCAGUGACUUUGGGCGGGUUCACGACAGGACUCUGGACUCUCAUUGGUCAGGAGCUGAGGAAUUAAGAGGAUUGCUGAAACGCUAUUGGCUGGCGAAUCAAGCGCGUAGGAAACCACAGGCGAGACUUUCUGUUGACAUACAGUACAGUUCAGAAUGUGUUCAUUUCUCAAACUUAAUAUACUAAGUAAUAAAUACAAA